AACCAUUACUCUUCUUUUUGAGCGGCAAUUUGUUUACAAGCGGCUUCUCAAACACGCAUUAUUCAAAAACCCUAAUUAUCAUCUUCUUCAAUUCUCUGGCGAUUUCAUACUUUUUCAAUUGUCUCAAACACAAAAACUCUAAUCCAGCCGAUCGAUCUUCAUCUGAUAAGUUUUUGACGGAUCGGGUUUUUCAAUUCCCCGCAAGUAGAGAAAAAGAUCAAGGUUGGUAUAUGCUUCUGAAUGUUUGAUUCUUUGUUUUUAUUAGUUUAUUUCAACAUAGAUCCAUGAGUUUAUACGACACCAAACCAUUUGUAAUCUGAUAAAAAUUGUGUUGUUAAUUGUGUGUCGUUUUGUUAAUUUGUUCUCUAUUUGCGAUUUGUAUUAAUGAUGGAUAAUGAAUUAGGGCACCAAAAGUGACUAAAAAUCUCAUCAUCUCAUUGCCAUUUACUAAUUCGGCUGAUCAUCCAACCUGGCCGGUUUGAUUUGUCGUUUCCCAAAACUAUAGUUAGCGGUUUGACCGAAUAUUAUAGUCAUAACAUGUAGCUAGCGGGUUGACCGCAAAAUUGAUAUACAAUAUCUCUGAUACUUUGAUGUAUCUGUAUAAGAUUUUGUGAAUGAGAUUAUAUGUGAAUAUCCCAUUUCUUAUGAUUAUUUGAUGUGGUGGUAUAUCUUGCGUAUGUAUGGUUUCUUGGAUGUGUUGGGGCUCUUCAGAAGUAAUUAAUCUGCCAAUAUGUCUUGCAAAUUUAUCCCGUAUAAUACACGGGUCUAUCACAUGUAAAUAUUUUUUUGGUCUUAACAUAAUGUUUUGUGGUUUUGAUUAUGUAUGUUUGAGGAUCCUGGCUAUGAUUUUGAUCAUGAUGACCACCAGAGGGGUUAAUGGAUUACAUCUAUACCUGGAAGCUGGUGCUUGAUCUAUAAUGGGUCAGAUAAUUUUUUAUAUCUUAAAGGGCUUAAAUGGGUCAAACAUGUAAUGAAGAUAGGAAGAUCCACUUCUGCACAAAAUAUGGGCUACUAUUAGAGAACAUAAAUUGGAUGAUGGCGAUGCUUUGGUUUUCAAAUUGAUUGAGCUACAAGAUUCAAGUUGAUUUUACAUUAAAAGAAUUACAAAAUUUAAGGGCAAAGAUGAGGGUUCCGUUCCGUGAUCAUCAGCAAUAUAAUGGUUAGUUUCCUUUUAAUUUUUAAGAGCCCAAUGUUCUUUGAAAUAAAAUCCAACAAUUUGCUGAAAAAUUAACCGGGGCUUUGUAAUAUAAGUUCAUAGAAGGUAUUUGAGCUCAUACAUUACAGAGGUGUUUUGCUUUGAACUGGUCAAGUACAUCAAACGGCUUAAAUAAAUAUUUAGCUCACUGCAUCUAAAUGCAUAAAAACUUUCAAAAACUGGAUCAGCAUUAUUAUAUUCUACUUUUAAAUCAUAUUAAUCUCUUCUUAUAAAACUAAUGGAUAGAGAAAGCAAAUAAAAUGUUGCAAGUUGGCCAAUCUGACUUAAUACGCAAGGUGGGAAUUUAAGUUGUGUUGAAAGGAUUAUAAAUCAUUUUUUGGCUUGUGAAGAGAAAGUUACAGUUCUUUCUCCGAGAACGAUUGUUUCGGAAGUAUCGCCGUCGUCUGUACCGUUGAGGAAAGUUUCAAAGCUUGUGGAUAAUUAUAUGGCGGAGGUUGCAUCUGAGGUGAAUUUGAAACCUGAAAAGAUGAAAUCGCUUGCGGAAAUUCUUCCUGAUUCUGCAAGAUCUUUGAAUAAUGGGUUGUAUAGAGCUUUGGAUGUGUAUUUUAAGGUUUGUUUCUUAUACUAGAGGUGGGAAAUGGGCGUGUCGGUGGGGUAGGUAACGAGUCAAAACUGGUAAUUUGGAUUUUUGGUGCUGGUCAAAACAGUAUGGUCUGGUUGGGUUGAUCUAGAAUAUUUUCUUUAAGUUUUUAGUAACAAGGUAACCAACUUUGGGCAAAUUUCUUUAUUAGGUAACCAACUGUAUUUAGACCACAGAAAACCACAUUAUUUUUAGAAGAGUAAAGUACACGGAUGUUCCCUAUGGUUUAUCGAAAUUUUGGAUUUGGUCCCUAACUUUCCAAAAGUACACCGAUGGUCCCUGUGGUUUGCACUUUGUAACGCAUUCAGUCCCUAACUCGGACAUGCCAAAAUUUUGGAUUUGACUUUAUUCUGACAUGACACUUGCAAAUCAAUACCUGAAGAUUACUUAAAGAGUUCUAUGUGAAGUUCAAAAAUGAAGUAUAGAGUCUUUGUAAAUAGUUUAUAUGGUUUAUGACACAAGAAAAUCCAUCCUAGAUGUUUGGAUAUUGAUGACGUGGACAUCUGUUAUGGAUUUUCUUUAACCUAAAACGCUUAUAAUGUCGGGUAAUUAAGCCCGUUACAUGCUUAUUCUUUUGUGAAACGUUGCAUCUGAUUCUUAGGUGUAUAGACACCUGAUUCUUAAUUUUUUAAUCCUAUAUUUUUUGGGCCAUUAAGAUUUGAUCUGGUGUCUUUUGACCCGUUACAUGUGUAUUUGGGUUCCUAAAUUUGUAUAUGGUUCAUUGUUGAGCUCUGUCUCUUUUGUAUAUGAGCCAAGGUGGGUGGAUGCCCAACACCAAACUUUUACAUGCCAAUGCUUUCGCCAAGUCAGCAGGCACCACAUCCAGGUGGAAGUUGUGUUGAUGUUCCUGGGAAGCAGAAUCAGCAACAACCCAUUCUUCAUACGCAGCAACAGCGGAAUAGCUGGAACCUGAGUCAGCAACAAAGGUAACUGAACUGCUAUUGGAGAUAGUUCUCUCAUCGCAUGAUUGAAAACCAUGCAGUGCUAAAAAGAUUAAUUUCAAAGUCUAGAUACAUUGUUGUGGUUAUCGUUUUUUGUUUUUAUUUUUCUAAAAUGAAGGGUACAAGAAUAGGUUGAAACAACAAUAUGUCGAGUUUCCAAAGGCAGGUUCUAGACAAUUGUUCCAGGUUGUUGACGAAGUUUAGGAGUGGUGUGGUGAUGUUUAACUGCUGUUAAAUUGUUUCUAAUAUGAUAUUUAGAUGUGCCAAGGUCUCUACUAGGUGAUGUAUUAUGCUUGUGUUAUCAAUUUCUUUCAAAUGAUUAUUUCAACAAUUUUAAGUUAUAUACUUGUGUGUUAGUCCACCCGCGAAAUUUGCGGGAUCUUAGGCUAGUUAUUAAAUAUAAUAAAUAAGUUUGCUAAUUA